rnacentral:rRNA from 1 species
GAUCAUGGCUCAGGAUGAACGCUAGCUACAGGCCUAACACAUGCAAGUCGAGGGGUAGCGUGAGGGAAGCUUGCUCCCUGACGACGACCGGCGAAUGGGUGAGUCACGCGUGUCCAACCUGCCCCGUGCCCGGGGAUAGCCCUUGGAAAUGAGGAUUAAGACCCGAUAUGUGGCGCUUCCGCAUGGCGGCGCCAUGAAGCAGGCACGGGAUGGGGACGCGUCGGAUUAGCUUGACGGCGGGGCAACGGCCCACCGUGGCGACGAUCCGCAGGGGUUCUGAGAGGAAGGUCCCCCACACUGGCACUGAGACACGGGCCAGACUCCUACGGGAGGCAGCAGUGAGGAAUAUUGGUCAAUGGGCGGGAGCCUGAACCAGACCCAAGUAGCGUGCAGGACGACGGCCCUACGGGUUGUAAACUGUCUUUUCCGGGAGGAUAAAGUGAGCCACGCGUGGUUCAUUGCAGGUAUCCCGGGAAUAAGGACCGGCUAAUUCCGUGCCAGCCGCCGC